CGGGCGUGAGGCGUAGAUAGCGAUAGAAUAGCAUCAUGAGCGUGUCCAGGAUGCUGCGCCUAAUGAAGCCACUGGGUGCCGCCUGAAGUUUGCGCUCCUGCUUCACAUACAGCAGGGUGACCAGCAGGCCGCUGAUAAAGAAGAACGAGUCCACGGAGAAGGUGGCAUUGCCAAUGAUCUGAUACCAAAACGAACGUUCCGUAAUCACGCGCUCAAACUAGAUGAUGACGAUGAUGAAGAAUACGUGUGCACCAUCAUGGUCCAGAGCACGGAGAAGACGCGCAGCCCAUGCAAACAGGAUGUGUGCGACUGGAAGUGGGAACGAGAUGAUAUGAUGCAUAUAGAGAUUGUAACUGGGCGUAAGUCAGACUUACCUCCUUGGUCUUGUCUAUGUUCAAUAUGGCCUUGGCAUUUGUUUGCAGGGCAAAGCACAGCAACAGCUGCUGAUGCAAAGCUGCAACGAAAGUUGACAAUAUAUAUUUUCGUAACUAACA